GACAGCAACUGCUGGAAGGAAACAAGAUCAGGAGAGGACCUGUAGAGAUCUGGAAAACAUGGCGUGUCUUUUAACUAUCUGAUGGUCUAUACAAUCCGUCAGUGAAACCUUGUAAAAAGAGGGGGAUGGAAGUCAGAAAACAAUUAUGUGAACAAGAAGCAAAGGAAACGCUCCUCCUUGGAUCAACAGUUCCUGGUGAGGAAUCCACCCAUUCAACUGGCUUGAUCAAUGAGCCAUUACAGAGGUCAUUCACUCAGAUGAAAAAGAUUCAGAUAUGUAUGGAACAGUCCUAUCAAAGCCAAGGCUUCCAUAUUGCAGUCAAGACAUAUUUUAAUAAUAGUUUCCCAAACCACAAAUUUGCAGAAUCUGAAGUGACAAUACAUCUGGUAAUGAAAAGUAAAUCCCUCUUUACAUCUAAAACUAGUACCUAAGCAGCAAAAAUAAUUUUUAAAAGGGCUUCUUAAUUAUUCCCCAUAGUAACCUUUUCUUUUAGGAUCACCAUAUGUACCCCAUUACCCAGUGAUCUCACUUUAAAUUUGUAUGACACAUUAAAGUCUUAUCACUCUGGAUUGCAAAGGGAUCCAUUAAAAUGCCACAUAUUUUACUAUUUAUAUUGCCUUGGCAAUUAAAAAAACAACAACAC
rnacentral:lncRNA from 1 species